rnacentral:rRNA from 1 species
UACGUAGGGUGCGAGCGUUAAUCGGAAUUACUGGGCGUAAAGCGUGCGCAGGCGGUUCGUUGUGUCGGCGGUGAAAGCCCCGGGCUCAACCUGGGAAUGGCCGUUAAAACUGGCGAACUGGAGUGUGGCAGAGGGGGGUGGAAUUCCGCGUGUAGCAGUGAAAUGCGUAGAGAUGCGGAGGAACACCGAUGGCGAAGGCAGCCCCCCUGGGCUGACACUGACGCUCAGGCACGAAAGCGUGGGGAGCAAACAGG